rnacentral:misc_RNA from 1 species
UCCACGUUUGACAAUCCGUAGACGACAACAAUUGAACAACCAACCAAUGUUAUAGCAUAUUUGGAGUAUAAACAUUACACAAGUCGCAGCCAGACAUGGCAGGAGGAGGGGGUUCGAGUGUUGGGGGUUUGAAACAUCCCGUAAAGAUAUUUGCGAACAUCUUCAUAUCGUUUAUUGGAGCUGGUGUACUUGGUCUGCCAUACGCAUUCAAAGAGGCUGGAAUCAUUGAAGGAACCUUGGUGAUGACCGGUGUUGGUAUUAUAAGCAUCAAAGCUAUGCUCCUGUUAAUCGAGUGCAAGUACAGAAUUCUGGAAAAUCAAGGUUCCAAGUCUAGUUACAGCAGAAUGAGGGAAGAAGAUGAUGGGCUGAAGACAGCAGGCUCAAAGGACGAAUUACAAGAUCUGAUGAGAGGGGAAGAACACCUCGUCAUUCGGGUUAAAGAUCCUCCCCUUUCCAAGGGUGAAGACUUGUCCUAUGGUGAUGUGGGAUAUCAAGCUAUGGGCCAUACAGGACGAUUUCUAGUCGAUCUGGCGAUUGUUCUCUCACAAAUAGGUUUUUGCUGUGCAUACCUCAUAUUUAUUGCCCAGAACCUGUCUGAUUACAUGGCGGGAAUGAAAUUAGGUCACUGGCUGAUGAUACUGCUCCCUACCUUGUGUAUGCUGACAAUGCUGCGUCAUCUAGGCAGUCUGGCUAUUACUAGUUUGAUGGCCCAGUGUUCCAACUUGAUGGCAUUUGGUGUGGUCUUCUGGUUUGAUUUUGAACACUUCUAUAGCAUUGAAUAUUGUUAUGUGAAGGGACAUGUGAUAUCGUCUAGACACUGUGCUCACAGUUUACAUCCAGCGAAGUUUCGAUUCUCUGGGCUUCCAUUUUUCUUAUGCAUAGCUAUAUACUGUUACGAGGGAGCAGGUAUGAUUUUAUCUUUAGAAGCCUCAGUUCAUGAAGAUUUGAGAUUCAAGUUCAAAAAGUAUUUCAUUUCCACGAUGGUUUUAGUUACAACACUGUAUAUAACAUUUGGAGCAUGUGGGUAUUUGUCUUUUGGUCCAGAAACAAAUCAGAUAAUCACACUGAAUUUACCAAAUGGCCAGUCGGUUGACUCCAGUAUGAUUGUCAAGUCAUUUCUCUGUUUGGCCCUUUACUUCACUUACCCCGUUAUGAUGUUUCCAGUAACAAAAAUUUUGGAGAGAUAUUUUUUACCAGACGCUGAUAAACAGUACUGGAAAGGAAAUAUUAUGCGUGCUAUAUUGGUGGUGAUCACAGGGUUCAUCGUCAUGGCAAUACCCAACUUUGCGAUUUUGAUGGCUUUAAUAGGUGCCAGUUGUUGUAUCCUAUUGGCAUUAGUCUUACCUGGAGCCUUUCACUUGAAGAUUUUUAAUGUAAUGAAUUUUAACAGCUGGUUCAGGCAUGAAAAUAAGUCAAGAAGAGUUGUUAUGGUUACCAGGUGGUUACUAUAUGCCAAGGAAGUAGAGAAUGGUACUUCGUUCUCCACGAAAGCUUAUUAAACUAAAACUACACCAUCUAAAGUUUGAUCAGUCACUAACGCGGUCUCAACGUCUUAUCAACUGGUCUCUAAUUAUAAUGGGUAUUCUAGGAACCGUGAACAUUCGGAAGAAAUGCUGCUGUCUGUGCAAGAUUAAGACACAGUAAUA